UGGGGAAUUUUGGACAAUGGGCGAAAGCCUGAUCCAGCCAUGCCGCGUGAGUGAAGAAGGCCUUCGGGUUGUAAAGCUCUUUUGUCUGGGAGCAAAUCCCUUCGUCGAAUAAACGGAGGGGAUGAGAGUACCAGAAGAAUAAGCACCGGCUAACUACGUGCCAGCAGCCGCGGUAAUACGUAGGGUGCGAGCGUUAAUCGGAAUUACUGGGCGUAAAGCGUGCGCAGGUGGCGAUGUAAGCUUGAUGUGAAAGCCCCGGGCUCAACCUGGGAACGGCAUUGAGGACUGCAUGGCUAGAGUGUGGCAGAGGGGGGUGGAAUUCCACGUGUAGCAGUGAAAUGCGUAGAGAUGUGGAGGAACACCAAUGGCGAAGGCAGCCCCCUGGGUUAACACUGACACU
rnacentral:rRNA from 1 species